AUUCUCCUGCUUCAGCCUCCCGAGUAGCUGGGACUAUAGGCCCGGCCACCACAACCAGCUAAUUUUUUUUUUUUUUUUUUUUUUUUUUUUAGUAGAGACGGGGUUUCACCAUGUUAGUCAGGAUGGUCUCUAUCUCCUGACCUCGCGAUCCGCCCGCUUCGGCCUCCCAAAGUGCUGGGAUUACAGGUGUGAGCCACUGUGCCCGGCUGAAAGCCUGAUAUAUCUUUCUACCAUAGCAAGAACUAGCAGCACCUUACCCAGUAUGAGACCGACCCAGGUCUGCCUUAAUAUAUAUACCGUAAUAUAUACCUAACAGUUUUUUUUUUUUUUUUGAGAGGGAGUCUCGCUCUGUCGCCCAGGCUGGAGUGCAGUAUCGCGAUAUCGGUUCGCUGCAAGCUCCGCCUCCCGGGGUCACGUCAUUCUCCUGCCUCAGCUUCCGGAGCAGCUGGGACUGCUGGCGCCCGCCACUACGCUCGGCUAAUUUUUUUGUGUUUUUAGUAGAGACGGGCUUUCACCGUGUUGGCCUAGCGGUUCUCCAACUCCUGACCUCAUGAUCCCCCCGCCUCAGCCUCCCAAAGUGCUGGGAUUACAAGCGUGAGCCACCGCGACCCGCCAACACUCUUGACAACAGUGCUGUGCUAAGAACUUGGGGGACUUCAAAAAGUUCACCAGUUCCUGUGUCCAUGGGUGAAAAGAUUUUCUACAUCUUUCCUUGACUAGAAACAGAAGUCCUGAAACAAGGUACACCUUCUUGAGGCUUACUUGAAUAUAACGUCAGGAGGCCAGAGGCUUUGUCCUGCCUAAUGUGUUAUUUCCACACUGAAUAAAAGCACCUGAGUCCUGAAUUCUCCAAACACCACCUCACACAGUUUUGGAAUCUCUUUGUCUUCAUUUCCCAGAAUUUGGAAGAGUUCAUCUAGUAUCUCUG
rnacentral:lncRNA from 10 species